ACUUAAAAUCCGUUGGCUUUAUAGACCAUGAGGGUUCAAGUCCCUCUACCCCCA
rnacentral:tRNA from 2 species